UACGUAGGGUGCAAGCGUUAUCCGGAAUUACUGGGCGUAAAGGGUGCGUAGGCGGUUGUUUAAGUCUGUCGUGAAAUCCCCGGGCUCAACCUGGGAAUGGCGAUGGAUACUGGGCAGCUAGAGUGUGUCAGAGGAUGGUGGAAUUCCCGGUGUAGAGGUGAAAUUCGUAGAUAUCAAGCAGAACACCUGCGGCGAAGGCGGCCUUCUGGACGAUGACUGACGCUGAGACACGAAAGCGUGGGGAGCAAACAGG
rnacentral:rRNA from 1 species